AAAUUGAAGAGUUUGAUCAUGGCUCAGAUUGAACGCUGGCGGCAGGCCUAACACAUGCAAGUCGGACGGUAGCACAGAGAGCUUGCUCUCGGGUGACGAGUGGCGGACGGGUGAGUAAUGUCUGGGGAUCUGCCCGAUAGAGGGGGAUAACCACUGGAAACGGUGGCUAAUACCGCAUAACGUCGCAAGACCAAAGAGGGGGACCUUCGGGCCUCUCACUAUCGGAUGAACCCAGAUGGGAUUAGCUAGUAGGCGGGGUAAUGGCCCACCUAGGCGACGAUCCCUAGCUGGUCUGAGAGGAUGACCAGCCACACUGGAACUGAGACACGGUCCAGACUCCUACGGGAGGCAGCAGUGGGGAAUAUUGCACAAUGGGCGCAAGCCUGAUGCAGCCAUGCCGCGUGUAUGAAGAAGGCCUUCGGGUUGUAAAGUACUUUCAGCGGGGAGGAAGGCGACGGGGUUAAUAACCCUGUCGAUUGACGUUACCCGCAGAAGAAGCACCGGCUAACUCCGUGCCAGCAGCCGCGGUAAUACGGAGGGUGCAAGCGUUAAUCGGAAUUACUGGGC
rnacentral:rRNA from 1 species